rnacentral:rRNA from 1 species
AGCAGUCGCCGCGGGAACACGUAGGGUGCGAGCGUUAAUCGGAAUUACUGGGCGUAAAGCGUGCGCAGGCGGUUUUGUAAGACAGGCGUGAAAUCCCCGGGCUCAACCUGGGAAUGGCGCUUGUGACUGCAAAGCUAGAGUGCGGCAGAGGGGGAUGGAAUUCCGCGUGUAGCAGUGAAAUGCGUAGAUAUGCGGAGGAACACCGAUGGCGAAGGCAAUCCCCUGGGCCUGCACUGACGCUCAUGCACGAAAGCGUGGGGAGCAAACAGGAUUAGAUACCCGAGUAGUCCCUGUCUCUUAUAC